UACGUAGGUGGCGAGCGUUGUCCGGAUUUACUGGGCGUAAAGGGAGCGUAGGCGGACUUUUAAGUGAGAUGUGAAAUACUCGGGCUCAACUUGAGUGCUGCAUUUCAAACUGGAAGUCUAGAGUGCAGGAGAGGAGAAUGGAGUUCCUAGUGUAGCGGUGAAAUGCGUAGAGAUUAGGAAGAACACCAGUGGCGAAGGCGAUUCUCUGGACUGUGACUGACGCUGAGGCUCGAAAGCGUGGGGAGCAAACAGG
rnacentral:rRNA from 1 species